rnacentral:rRNA from 1 species
GGCAGCACCAAACACUAACUGCCCGCCCGAUUAGUACGAGCGAAAGCUUUAAACUCAAAGGACCUGACGGUGACCCACAUCCAUCUAGAGGAGCCUGUUUCAUAAUCGAUAACCCACGUUUAACCCCACCAUUCCUAGCCAAUCAGCCUAUCUACCGCCGUCGUCAGCCCACCCUGUGAGGGCACCAAAGUGAGCAUAACAGUUAAUACACUAAAACGACAGGUCAAAGCGUAGCACACGGAGUGGAGAAAAAUGGGCUACAUUUUCUACAACAGAACACACGGAAGGACGAAAUGAAAAAACGCCUGAAGGCGGAUUUAGCAGUAAGACGGAAUAAAACAUCCACCUGAACAAAGCACUGGGACGCGUACACACCGCCCGUCACCCCCACCCCUCCCCACCACCACACCUCCCUAAACCAAGAGGAAACCCCUAAGGUGGGGUAAGU